rnacentral:misc_RNA from 1 species
AUGAAAUACAAGUCGGCAGAUUGUGCUGGCGCUCUGCGCAUGUGCACAUCGGUCGCAAAUCCACACACCUGUGCACUUUAGACUCGAAGCGAGUGGCCGUUUGGUCACACCUUUGAGUAUUUUACACAUGCCGUAUGUAAAAGGAUGCUGUCGUGCUAUGCACAAAAAACUUA